rnacentral:rRNA from 1 species
CAGUCGCCACGGGAAUACGAAGGGGGCUAGCGUUGUUCGGAAUCACUGGGCGUAAAGGGUGCGUAGGCGGGCGACUCAGUCAGGGGUGAAAUCCCGGGGCUCAACCUCGGAACUGCCUUUGAUACUGUUCAUCUUGAGUAUGGGAGAGGCGUGUGGAACUCCGAGUGUAGAGGUGAAAUUCGUAGAUAUUCGGAAGAACACCAGUGGCGAAGGCGACACACUGGCCCAUUACUGACGCUGAGGCUCGAAAGCGUGGGGAGCAAACAGGAUUAGAUACCCGCGUAGUCCCUGUCUCUUAUAC